GCCAGACUCCUACGGGAGGCAGCAGUGGGGAAUAUUGCACAAUGGGGGAAACCCUGAUGCAGCGACGCCGCGUGAGUGAAGAAGUAUUUCGGUAUGUAAAGCUCUAUCAGCAGGGAAGAAAAUGACGGUACCUGACUAAGAAGCCCCGGCUAACUACGUGCCAGCAGCCGCGGUAAUACGUAGGGGGCAAGCGUUAUCCGGAUUUACUGGGUGUAAAGGGAGCGUAGACGGCAUGGCAAGUCAGAUGUGAAAGCCCGGGGCUCAACCCCGGGACUGCUCUUGGAACUGCGUGGCUGGAGUGCAGGAGGGGCAGGCGGAAUUCCUGGUGUAGCGGUGAAAUGCGUAGAUAUCAGGAGGAACACCGGUGGCGAAGGCGGCCUGCUGGACUGCAACUGACGUUGAGGCCCGAAAGCGUGGGGAGCAAACAGGAUUAGAUACCCUCGUA
rnacentral:rRNA from 1 species